rnacentral:rRNA from 1 species
CUACGUGCCAGCAGCCGCGGUAAUACGUAGGUGGCAAGCGUUGUCCGGAAUUAUUGGGCGUAAAGCGCGCGCAGGCGGAUCAGUCAGUCUGUCUUAAAAGUUCGGGGCUUAACCCCGUGAUGGGAUGGAAACUGCUGAUCUAGAGUAUCGGAGAGGAAAGUGGAAUUCCUAGUGUAGCGGUGAAAUGCGUAGAUAUUAGGAAGAACACCAGUGGCGAAGGCGACUUUCUGGACGAAAACUGACGCUGAGGCGCGAAAGCCAGGGGAGCGAACGGGAUUAGAUACCCUGGUAGUCCCGGCCGUAAACGAUGAUUACUGGGUGUGGGCAGGAAGACUGUCUGUGCCGAAGCGAAUGCGAUAAGUAAUCCGCCUGGGGAGUACGGCCGCAAGGCUGAAACUCAAAGGAAUUGACGGGGACCCGCACAAGCGGUGGAGCAUGUGGUUUAAUUCGACGCAACGCGAGGAACCUUACCAGAUCUUGACAUCC